CCUACGGGUGGCUGCAGCUAAGAAUAUUCCGCAAUGGACGAAAGUCUGACGGAGCGACGCCGCGUGGAUGAAGAAGGCCGAAAGGUUGUAAAAUCCUUUUGCUGAGGAAGAAUAAGUGUGGGAGGGAAUGCCCGCAUGAUGACAUGAAUCGGCGAAUAAGCCCCGGCCAACUACGUGCCAGCAGCCGCGGUAACACGUAGGGGGCGAGCGUUGUUCGGAAUUACUGGGCGUAAAGGGCAUGUAGGCGGUUAUGUAAGCCUGGCGUGAAAGUCCACAGCUUAACUGUGGGAUUGCGUUGGGAACUAGAUGACUAGAGUUACGGAGAGGGAGCUAGAAUUCCUGGUGUAGGGGUGGAAUCUGUAGAGAUCAGGAAGAAUACCGAUGGCGAAGGCAAGCUCCUGGCCGAUGACUGACGCUGAGGUGCGAAAGUGUGGGGAUCAAACAGGAUUAGAUACCCGAGUAGUC
rnacentral:rRNA from 1 species